CAUGAUAACAGAAAGGGGAAUCAACUAAGGCCAGAGAUAGCGAUGACAGUGCCAGUGGGCAAAUCUCUUCCAUUUCUGCAGCUGUAGGUCUAACUCUUGGAACAGAGCAAGUCCCUUCUGAGUGGAUGACAACACUGCCUUGAAAGACUGGCCUUUGAGAAGAAAGUCAUCAUGGUAUGGGAAGAUGAGAAUUGCUUCCUGCCAAAGGUCUCUGACACCCCUGGAACUGAGCAGGGCUUGAUCUCUGGACAGUCUGUGACCUACUGAAGUGCUUCUUAUAUAAAUACCCAAGGAAAAAUGGGUGGCCCUGGAGUCCUUAAGUGUGUGCAGGGAGUCAUUUGUGAUUGCCGAGAAGAGUUUGUGACCAAAGGGGAGGUCCUCUACUGUGUUUUGGACCUCUCUCAGUAACCCUGAAAGCUGGGGCAUGGACACCCUGCGUAUAACUACCACCAUGGAGA